rnacentral:rRNA from 1 species
UACGGAGGGUGCAAGCGUUAUCCGGAUUUACUGGGUUUAAAGGGUGCGUAGGCGGGUAGGUAAGUCAGUGGUGAAAUCUUCGAGCUUAACUCGGAAAUUGCCGUUGAUACUAUUUAUCUUGAAUAUCGUUGAGGUUUGCGGAAUAUGUCAUGUAGCGGUGAAAUGCUUAGAUAUGACAUAGAACACCAAUUGCGAAGGCAGCUCACUACACGGUAAUUGACACUGAGGCACGAAAGCGUGGGGAUCAAACAGG